UGGGGAAUCUUGGGCAAUGGGCGCAAGCCUGAUCCAGCCAUGCCGCGUGGGUGAAGAAGGCCUUCUGGGUUGUAAACUGCUUUUAUACAGGAAUAAAAUGGCUCUGCGGGGCGGAUUGCAUGUACUGUAUGAAUAAGCACCGGCUAACUCCGUGCCAGCAGCCGCGGUAAUACGGAGGGUGCAAGCGUUGUCCGGAUUUAUUGGGUUUAAAGGGUGCGUAGGCGGGUAUUUAAGUCAGUGGUGAAAUCCCUGAGCUCAACUGAGGAAUUGCCAUUGAUACUGGAUAUCUUGAUUACCGUAUAGGUAGGCGGAAUUUAUGGUGUAGCGGUGAAAUGCAUAGAUACCAUAAAGAACACCGAUAGCGAAGGCAGCUUACUGGACGUGUAAUGACGCUGAUGCACGAAAGCGUGGGUAGCGAACGGGAUUAGAUACCCCCGUAGUCC
rnacentral:rRNA from 1 species